rnacentral:rRNA from 1 species
UACGGGGGGGGCAAGCGUUGUUCGGAAUUACUGGGCGUAAAGGGUUCGUAGGUGGCUGGCUAAGUCAGACGUGAAAUCCCUCAGCCUAACUGGGGAACUGCGUCUGAGACUGGUCGGCUCGAGUGCAGGAGAGGAACGCGGAAUUCCAGGUGUAGCGGUGAAAUGCGUAGAUAUCUGGAGGAAUUCCGGUGGCGAAGGCGGCAUCCUGGACCGGCAUUGACGCUGAGGAGCGAAAGCCAGGGGAGCAAACGGG